rnacentral:lncRNA from 1 species
UGACGACGACAGCCGACAGGCAGCCUUGGCGCUUAGUCGACCUCCUCCAUCUUGCUCUCGCCGGCGUCGUCCUCCAGGGGCGGCAUGUCGGUGUCGUUCUCUGGCGCCUCGUCAUCCUCAUCAAUGCUCAGGCCAAGCUUGAGCAUGCGGUGGAUCCUGGUGCCGAAGGUGUUGGGGUCCUCCAGGCUGAAGCCGGAGGUGAGCAGGGAGGUCUCGAAGAGCAGCAUCACGAGGUCCUUGACAGACUUGUCGUUCUUGUCGGCAUCGGCACGCUUACGGAGCUCGUCCAUGAUGGCGUUCUCAGGGUUGAUCUCCAUG